rnacentral:piRNA from 1 species
GGAGACCGUGGACAGACCAAUAAUGC